UUUUAAAAGAGGAAACAAACUAAAUGUGUCAAAGACAGUGAAGAACUUUAUGAAAACUUGUUGAAAAAACAAACAAUAAAUUUCAAAUUAUUUUGGAAUUAUUUAGCUAGUAAUAUAAACUUAGUAGCUAUUAUCAUGACAAUGCCUCAGUUCAUUUUACUCUAUUCAUUGGUAAAAUGGAGAUAAUUUCCAGGGCUGCUGUGAGAACUAAAAGAGGUAAAGAACAUGUAAGCUGUGUUUUAAUUGUUUAUGUUCAUCACAACAUGCAGGAUAAAAGGCCUUCAGAUUCCCCUCAGUUGUUGGAAGUAGCAUACAAACUAUGCCACAAGCCAACUUCAUUCCUCUGCUGUGGUGAACCAAUCCCCCACCCCACCUACCACAUCACUACAGAUUUCUCUGGACACCUAAAUGUGCCAGUGUUCCAGUUUGUCUACUACAGAGGUUUGCAUGAAGACCUUCUACCUGAUUUAGAGCACUAGUUUAUGUGGAGGAAGAGAGACAGAGAGGGAGAGAAUGAGAAUCCCACGUUCAAUGCGGGGCUCGACCUCACGAGAACCUGAGAUCAUGACCUGAGUGGAAAUCAAGACUCAGAUGCUUAACCUCAGACGCUUAACCGACUCUGUCACCCAGGAACCCAGAUUUAUUUUCCUCUUAAAACAAACUUGAAUAUCUAUUGGAUAAAUGUAUACAGCAGAGGAAUCCUUUACAUUAAAGACAAAUUCCCAGAGAAGCACAAAGAAUGAUGAUGGGUCCUCUGGAGAACGCAAUGGAGCAAAAGGAAGGAACUGUUUGUCCCCAACUGACUGUUUUCUGCAUGAUGUUGGGUGGAACCAAUGAAUAUGAAGAGAUAUCACUUCUGUAAUUAUGUUAUAUAUAAAAUGGAUAGUAUCUACGUGGGCCUCACCUAAUCAAACAAGUUAUUUAAAAUCAUAGAAUUUUCCUUGACUGUUUACAGAAGAGGAAGUGAGAGACCCAAGGCACAAGAAAAAUUAACUUCACUAUUGCUGGGUCAAAGAUGGACGAGUCCACGUGGCAAGAAAUUAGAGUAAGAUUGGAGAGCACCUCUAGGAUCUGAGAGCACCCCUAGCUGACAGCCAUCAAGGAAAUUGGGACUGUAGUCCAACACUCACGAGGAACAAGAAUAAUCUUGGAAGCAGAUUUGCCCCAGAAUCUCCAAAGACCUCAAUCCAACCUACAUGGACACCUUGAUUCCAGCCUUGUGAACUCCUGAGGAGAGAACACGAUCAUGCUGUGCUAGAUUUCUGACCUACAGGCUUAUGAGCUAAUACAUGGGUAUAGCUUUCAGCCAUGAAGUUUGGGUGUAGACGGUAACUAGAGAAAAUGCAUUACCAUGAUAAUAGUUUUUAUAGUGCAUGGUGGGGUUGAAGGUUAUGAAUAUAUUCACACUAGCAUUUGGAUGUACUUUCUACAUUUCUAAAUGGAUUAUGGGUUACUUGCUAAUUAGAAAUAAAGCCCUUAGAAUUUAUUCAUGUCAAAUAUGUUAUAUUUCAGACUUUUAAAAAGGUAUAGUAAAUACUACAAUAGGCAAACAUGUAUAUAACCAAAGUUAUGAAGUAAAACAUUACAGAAAGUA